rnacentral:rRNA from 1 species
UGGGGAAUUUUGGACAAUGGGCGAAAGCCUGAUCCAGCAAUGCCGCGUGUGUGAAGAAGGCCUUCGGGUUGUAAAGCACUUUUGUCCGGAAAGAAAUCCUUGGCUCUAAUACAGUCGGGGGAUGACGGUACCGGAAGAAUAAGCACCGGCUAACUACGUGCCAGCGGCCGCGGUAAUACGUAGGGUGCAAGCGUUAAUCGGAAUUACUGGGCGUAAAGCGUGCGCAGGCGGUUUGCUAAGACCGAUGUGAAAUCCCCGGGCUCAACCUGGGAACUGCAUUGGUGACUGGCAGGCUAGAGUAUGGCAGAGGGGGGUAGAAUUCCACGUGUAGCAGUGAAAUGCGUAGAGAUGUGGAGGAAUACCGAUGGCGAAGGCAGCCCCCUGGGCCAAAUACUGACGCUCAUGCACGAAAGCGUGGGGAGCAAACAGGAUUAGAUACCCUGGUAGUCCACGCCCUAAACGAUGUCAACUAGUUGUUGGGGAUUCAUUUCCUUAGUAACGUAGCUAACGCGUGAAGUUGACCGCCUGGGGAGUACGGUCGCAAGAUUAAAACUCAAAUGAAUUGACGGGGUCAUAGCUGUUUCCU